CUGGGGUUGGGGUGAAUGGGAGUGGGGGAGGGGGGCUUCAGCCAGAUCAUCCUAAAAAUAGAUUCUACUGCUAAAAAUGCGAUGAAGGGUCAAGAGGAAGUUUUACUAAUUUUACCUUUCAGGAGCCUUCAAUAUCCAAUCAAUACAAUGCAUCUACGGAAAAAAUCCAACAGACCUCCAAUCUCAUUGCUACAUUUUGAUUCUCCCGAGUAAGACAUGCUCCCUUUGCUGCAAUCUAUCCAAAACAAGCAACUUUAACAGCUUACCUGUGGUACCUACAAUGAUUUUGCCACACUGCUAGCCGACGUUUGACGAGACAUAUGAAAUGGUCUCUGCUACAGAAUUGCAACAAUGUAAGCUGACAGCUUACCUGUGGUACCUACAGUGUUUUGGCCAUACUGCUCGCCGACAUUUGACGAGACAUAUGAAAUGGUCUCUGCUACAGGAAGGCAACAACCUAAGCUAACAGGAUUACACUCAUUGGCAAGGAAAAGUGUGCCUUAGAGCCUUGAUGCGACACUAAAGCACCCACAAAGCAAGGCGAAGCGCUCAACAUGUUUUGAGCCUCGCUUCAGGGCUUAAGAGCGCCUUUGACAACACUGUUAGAAAGCUUGCAAUUCUUCGAGUAAGGUGCAGAGGGAGGCCAGGAUGAAGAGCUCUAGUUAGCAAGCAGUAUACAAAAGGAACAAAAACAAGAAAGAAGAAAGAAAGAGUUUCUCAAAUUAGAAUUCAAUAGUCACACAUCCUGACUAUCUUUAAUAACAUGGCCAGAUAGAUAUUGGAAAUGCCAAUACAACCCCAAUCUCAUUGGUAUGUUUUUUUUUGGGCAGUUAGUUUUUCCAUACUAUUUCCAUAUAUCCUCUGUCUGGUUUCUGUAAUUCUCUGUCAACGUACAUAGAUUUUUACGGGAACUGGCACGUUUUUGGACUUGGUCUCUUUUCUUUCUCUUUUUGGUAAGAGUGAUGCUGCUAUCUUGUGCCAAAGGGUUAUGGGAGAAGUAAGGGACUGGGUUUUUUAGUUUCAUGUCUUUCUUACCCAAUAAGGAAAUUAUUGGGAAAUUACUUGGAUAAACUUGUGGAGAUUUUGAUCUGGUAAAACCGUAUACUAUUGGUUGUCACAGACGAAAUACAACAUUUCAUAUUGUAGGGACGAUAAUAGCCUUAGCAGUUCAAUUGGGAUGUUAUUGUACUGUAUACUAGUGUGUACUGUGUACUGCUAUAAAGUGCUUUUGUUUAUUUGUUCAAAUGGAAAAAUUGGUACUCUUCGGCACAUAUUAGUAGGUAGAAUACUAGGGCUUGCUGGGAAUUUGAUCUUGGUUUGACGCUCUGACGUGCUUGUGUUUAUUGGUGCACAAUUUUAUGUUCAAUUGGUAAUAUACAAUGAAGUGUGAACUUUUUUCUCUUUACAUUUUUGAUAAAUUAAAAGCCAAUUACAGGUGACUUUAGUUGCAAGUUAUGGAUUGCUAACCUAUAGAAUAUGGUAAUUGACGUGUCAUGUGAAAUUACACUGAUUGUGUGAAACUUGUGCACAAUGCUGGUGUAUAUAAGUUAAAACUCCAAAUUUUUAUGUACGGGCAGCAAGCCCUUGGGUGCACAUUUGUUGUGUAAUGACUAAUGAGCCCUCGAGAAGAAGCAGUGCGCGUAGGAAGCGAAGCGCUGCACUGUUUGUUGUACCAUAUUAGAGAUUAAAUUUGAAUAUGUUUAUCUAAAUGAAAACAUCAAUAAAAAAAACCGUUUUUACCGCCAAAAAAAGAAAGAAAGAAAAGAAAUAAGGAAUCGAAUUUGAGUUAGAUUCAAUCUUUGAGGCAUUGAAGGAAUUGUAAGGCUUUUGAAGCCUUUAUUCCUCGGAAUUGAGCGGCUAGCAAGAAUUAAGUUCAAUUUAUUUAACAUCGUUUCCGAUGUAAUCAGCAUUCUAGAAACAAAGUUUCCUGGUCGCUUCCCUUGUGUGGAAAGUUUUGUAGCACUGUGUUGCAACAAAGUGUAUCCAUGCGAAUUGCU